rnacentral:rRNA from 1 species
GACGAACGCUGGCGGCGUGCUUAACACAUGCAAGUCGAACGGAAAGGCCCUGCUUUUGUGGGGUGCUCGAGUGGCGAACGGGUGAGUAACACGUGAGUAACCUGCCCUUGACUUUGGGAUAACUUCAGGAAACUGGGGCUAAUACCGGAUAGGAGCUCCUGCUGCAUGGUGGGGGUUGGAAAGUUUCGGCGGUUGGGGAUGGACUCGCGGCUUAUCAGCUUGUUGGUGGAGUAGUGGCUUACCAAGGCUUUGACGGGUAGCCGGCCUGAGAGGGUGACCGGCCACAUUGGGACUGAGAUACGGCCCAGACUCCUACGGGAGGCAGCAGUGGGGAAUAUUGCACAAUGGGCGGAAGCCUGAUGCAGCAACGCCGCGUGCGGGAUGAAGGCCUUCGGGUUGUAAACCGCUUUCGCCUGUGACGAAGCGUGAGUGACGGUAAUGGGUAAAGAAGCACCGGCUAACUACGUG